ACCUGAGAUUGCUCGUUUGGUAGAGCAUGAGCUUCUUAAUCUCAGGGAUGUGGGUUCAAGAUCCACAUUGGGCA